rnacentral:rRNA from 1 species
UACGGAGGGUGCGAGCGUUGUCCGGAAUCACUGGGCGUAAAGGGCGCGUAGGCGGCGCGGUAAGCGUGCGGUGAAAGCCCGGGGCUCAACCCCGGGUCGGCCGUGCGGACUGCCGGGCUCGAGCACUGUAGAGGCGGGUGGAAUUCCGGGUGUAGCGGUGGAAUGCGUAGAGAUCCGGAAGAACACCGGUGGCGAAGGCGGCCCGCUGGGCAGUGGCUGACGCUGAGGCGCGAUAGCGUGGGGAGCAAACAGG